CUCUCCAAACUCGGUCAUUUAGAGGAAGUAAAAGUCGUAACAAGGUCUCCGUUGGUGAACCAGCGGAGGGAUCAUUACCGAGUUAUCCAACUCCCAACCCCUGUGAAUUAUACCUUUAAUUGUUGCUUCGGCGGGACUUCGCGCUCGCCGGGGACCCAAACCUUCUGAAUUUUUUAAUAAGGAUCUUCUGAGUGGUUAAAAAAAAAAUGAAUCAAAACUUUCAACAACGGAUCUCUUGGUUCUGGCAUCGAUGAAGAACGCAGCGAAAUGCGAUAAGUAAUGUGAAUUGCAGAAUUCAGUGAAUCAUCGAAUCUUUGAACGCACAUUGCGCCCGUCAGUAUUCUGGCGGGCAUGCCUGUUCGAGCGUCAUUACGCCCCUCAAGUCCCCUGUGGACUUGGUGUUGGGGAUCGGCGAGGCUGGUUUUCCAGCACAGCCGUCCCUUAAAUUGAUUGGCGGUCUCGCCGUGGCCCUCCUCUGCGCAGUAGUAAAACACUCGCAACAGGAGCCCGGCGCGGUCCACUGCCGUAAAACACCCCAACUUUUUAUAGUUGACCUCGAAUCAGGUAGGACU
rnacentral:rRNA from 1 species